CUAAACAUCAAAGGUGUUGAAAUGGAAUACGUGACUUCUCCAAAGAGCAUAUAAUUAUAAUGUGAUUGUAGGACCAUCCCAAAUGAAGAUAGAAGAAGAAGCAAAUCCUAAAAUUGAAACUGGAAAAAAUAUCAGCAAAUGGCUCGCGUCGCCUCAAACCUUUUUUCUCUUCCUAGAUUUAGGCCCUACUUUCAAGUUUUCGACAAUGCCCUCCUCUUCAAAUCCUCUUCCCUUUCUCCUUAUAGAACUUGCAAGUUUCAAUCGAUCGCGCCCGUCAGACAAAUCCACUUCCCACCCAAACACAACCCUCCGACGAGUCUGUGGCAAGUUCGUAUGUCAACAAUACUAGUUCAGAGUGAUCUUGCAAGGAUCAUUACAGAGAAUAAGCCUACAGACAUGGAUCAGUCAAAAUGAGACAGGAACGAAGUUGAUGUGUUGAAUCCAAACUCUUACAAAUAUGGGCUAAAUUGGAACAAAAAGCAAAGAGGAGUGCUUGAUUGAAAGAAUAAAAAUUUGAAGAUGACUAGAUAAAGAUUGAAGGGUUGAAGAUUUUUUUUUAAAAAAAUGGUUGGAUAAAGAUUGGAGGAUUUUUAUUCUAUAAUUAGUUUAAAUUUAAACUCUAGUUUAAAUUAAAUUUUAAAUUUUGAUUUAUUUAGUGAUAAUAUUUAGGAAAAAUCUAACUAAAUUUUAGCACUAGAAGUAUGUAUAAAUACCUAGUGGCUACAACCAAUUAAACACACACUUGGCUUUGGGAAUCAAUAAAAUUCCUUAUUUUGGGAAUCAAUAAAAUCUAUUCUGUUGUUUCA